AUGAGGUUUAUUGUUGGAGGUUCGAGAGGCGAUCUCAUUGCGAUAUUGCCGUCCGACGAUCGGUGGGUAAUUGAAGUAGCUACAUGGCUUUCCAAUCCUAACAAGGUACCUAAAUCAGUAGAAAUAGAGGUGUCGAAACCACCUCUGCCGCUUUGGAAGCCAGAUUCUGACGAUGAAGGAGAAUCACCACCACGUCCAUCAUCACCAACCAGUAGGAAAGUGAUGGUUUUCCCUGUGAUUAUUCAUGUGAAAGAGGUCUUGGACCGUGGUACCUUGAUGUCUGAAUUGCCAUCUAAAUAUCUUCCUGACGAAGACGUGGAUCUAUCUCGAAUCCAUGUGUUCGACACUUGGUGUGGACAAGUUGAUGGCAGUGGCCCAGGUGAUGAUGGAAAGGCGUAG
rnacentral:rRNA from 1 species